rnacentral:rRNA from 1 species
UGAUCUACGGGAGGCAGCAGUGAGGAAUAUUGGUCAAUGGGCGCGAGCCUGAACCAGCCAAGUCGUGUGAGGGAAGACUGCCCUAUGGGUUGUAAACCUCUUUUGUCAGGGAGCAACGCCGGCUACGUGUAGCCGGACUGAGAGUACCUGAAGAAAAAGCAUCGGCUAACUCCGUGCCAGCAGCCGCGGUAAUACGGAGGAUGCGAGCGUUAUCCGGAUUUAUUGGGUUUAAAGGGUGCGUAGGCGGAAUGCCAAGUCAGCGGUAAAAUCGCGGGGCUCAACCUCGCUCCGCCGUUGAAACUGGC